AUUCCAGCUCCAAUAGCGUAUAUUAAAGUUGUUGCGGUUAAAAAGCUCGUAGUUGGAUUUCUGUUGAGGACGGCCGGUCCGCACUAUGUGCGUGUAUCUGGUUCGGCCUUGGCAUCCUCUUGAGGAACGUAUCUGCGCUUGAUUGCGUGGAGCGGUAUUCAAGACUUUUACUUUGAGGAAAUUAGAGUGUUCGCGGCAGGCAAGCGCCUUGAAUACGUUAGCAUGGAAUGAUAAUAUAGGAUCUUGGUUCUAUUUUGUUGGUUUCUAGAGCUAAGGUAAUGUUUAAUAGGGAUAAUUGGGGGCAUUUGUAUUAACGCGUCAGAGGUGGAAUUCUUGGAUUGCGUUACGACAAACUACUGCGAAAGCAUUUGCCAAGGAUGUUUUCAUCG
rnacentral:rRNA from 1 species